rnacentral:rRNA from 1 species
UACGGAGGGAGCUAGCGUUGUUCGGAAUUACUGGGCGUAAAGCGCGCGUAGGCGGCUUUGUAAGUCAGAGGUGAAAUCCCGGAGCUCAACUCCGGAACUGCCUUUGAAACUGCAUCGCUUGAAUCCGGGAGAGGUGAGUGGAAUUCCGAGUGUAGAGGUGAAAUUCGUAGAUAUUCGGAAGAACACCAGUGGCGAAGGCGACUCACUGGACCGCUAUUGACGCUGAGGUACGAAAGCGUGGGGAGCAAACAGG